GACGAACGCUGGCGGCGUGCUUAACACAUGCAAGUCGAGCGGAAAGGCCUUUCGGGGUACUCGAGCGGCGAACGGGUGAGUAACACGUGAGUAAUCUGCCCUUCACUCUGGGAUAAGCGCUGGAAACGGCGUCUAAUACCGGAUACGACGCGCGACGGCAUCGUCUGCGCGUGGAAAGAACUUCGGUUCGGGAUGAGCUCGCGGCCUAUCAGCUUGUUGGUGAGGUAACGGCUCACCAAGGCGACGACGGGUAGCCGGCCUGAGAGGGUGACCGGGCACACUGGGACUGAGACACGGCCCAGACUCCUACGGGAGGCAGCAGUGGGGAAUAUUGCACAAUGGGCGCAAGCCUGAUGCAGCAACGCCGCGUGAGGGACGACGGCCUUCGGGUUGUAAACCUCUUUUAGCAGGGAAGAAGCGAAAGUGACGGUACCUGCAGAAAAAGCACCGGCUAACUACGUGCCAGCAGCCGCAGUAACAC
rnacentral:rRNA from 1 species